UACGAGGGGGGCAAAUGUUGUUCGGAAUCACUGGGCGUAAAGGGAGCGUAGGCGGGUUUCUAAGUCAGGUGUUUAAUCCCGGGGCCCAACCCCGGACAGGCACUUGAAACUGGGAAUCUUGAAUAGUGGAGAGGUCAGUGGAAUUGGGGGUGUAGCGGUGGAAUGCGUAGAGAUCCCCAAGAACACCAGUUGCGAAGGCGGCUGACUGGACACAUAUUGACGCUGAGGCUCGAAAGCAUGGGAGCAACAGG
rnacentral:rRNA from 1 species